GGGGGAGGAAAACUAGGGAGAAGAAUCUGGAGGCGGAGAACUUGCCUGAGUUCUUGCACCAGCCUGCCCACCUCCCCUCCUAAUGGAAAGCAACUGACAAGUGUCGCCCUGGUGCCUGGUGGGGCAUUCCCACUGUGACAGGUGUUUCACCCCUGCCCCACCCCCUGGCUCCAGACAGGGGCCACCUCCUUCCGGGUCCUGCCUCUGAGAUGCUGGCCAAUGGCUGUAAUCACACCCUCCACUCCAGCUGAAUUAAGGAAUGGCCAAGGCUCCCGCCAGGGCCCAACCUGUGCCCUGUGGGCCAGGGCCCUAGUGGCUUCUCCAGGUAGGCAGCCGGGAGGUCCCCCCGAGGACAGCCUGAUAGGACAAUGAUCUGGCUUUGGGGUGACUCCAGCAAUGUCCCUGAGAGCCGCGGAGGGGGAAGAAGAAUGCUUUGAAUACGAAUGCCCAGAUGAAGAGAGGAAGCCCAGCCAUGAACAGCAAGAAGCCCUGGACCUGUUGGAAGGGGACUUGGCUACUUCACUGACUUAACAACACUUCUUUAUUUUCUGACUGAGCUGUGGCUGGAGCUACACAGAUCUUACAUGGUGAAUGGCUUGAUGACACCCAGAUCAAGCCGUGGGGAAAAUUUCCAGCUUUCUGGGAGCCCGCUCCCUCCAGUGCAUUUUCUAGUUAACAUCUCUCUCUCCUGGGAAACCAUUAGCCUGACUUCUGGAACCCUGCAUUUGUUUGGGCUGUUCCUGAGCUAAGUAAAUGGUAACAAGUA